UGGUCUGACUCUGCCGGAGAUGUGAUUCCGGCGGAUACGCCGACGAAACUUCAUGCGAAAGCAGCAAAGACAGUUCAGAAGGUUUACCGGAGUUACCGUACCCGGCGUAUGUUAGCGGAUUCUGCUUUGGUGGCUGAAGAGCUCUGGUGGCAAGCCUUAGAUUAUGCUCGAUUGAAUCACAGUACGAUUUCUUUCUUCAAUGUUCCUCAACCGGAGACGGCGGUUUCACGGUG
rnacentral:misc_RNA from 1 species